CGACCUGCACGAAUGGCGUAACGAUUUGGGCACUGUCUCGGCGAGGUACUCGGCGAACUUAAGUUACCGGUGAAGACGCCGGUUUCCCGCAACUAGACGGAAAGACCCUGUGCACCUUUACUGCAGCUUGACAUUGAGUUUUGGUGUGGUACGUGUAGGAUAGGUGGGAGGUUAUGAAGUGGGGACGCUAGUUCUCAUGGAGCCAUCCUUGAAAUACCACCCUUAUUAUAUUGAGACUCUAACCAACACCUGUAAUCCAGGUGUGGGACAUUGUCUGGCGGGCAGUUUGGCUGGGGCGGUCGCCUCCUAAAGAGUAACGGAGGCGCACAAUGGUUCGCUCAGGUUGGUCGGACAUCAACCGUAGAGUGCAAAGGCAAAAGCGAGCCUGACUGCGAGACAGACAUGUCGAGCAGGGACGAAAGUCGGUCUUAGUGAUCCGGUGGCUCUGAGUGGAAGGGCCAUCGCCCAACGGAUAAAAGGUACGCCGGGGAUAACAGNNNNNNNNNNNNNNNNNNNNNNNNNNNNNNNNNNNNNNNNNNNNNNNCGCGAGGUCGACUCAUCGCAGCAUGGGGCGGAAACAGGUCCCAAGGGUUCGGCUGUUCGCCGAUUAAAGCGGUACGAGAGUUGGGUUCAGAACGUCGUGAGACAGUUCGGUCCCUAUCUGUUGUGGGCGUAGGAGACUUGAGAGGCUCUGUCCUUAGUACGAGAGGACCGGGAUGGACGAACCUCUGGUGUUCCGGUUGUCAUGCCAGUGGCAUUGCCGGGUAGCUAUGUUCGGAAGGGAUAACCGCUGAAAGCAUCUAAGUGGGAAACCCACCUCAAGAUUAGGUCUCCCGGGGAGUAAUCCCCCUAAAGACCUGUGGUAGACCACCACGUUGAUAGGCUGGAGGUGUAAGUGCGGUGACGCAUUAAGCUGACCAGUACUAAUCGGUCGUGAGACUUGACCCU
rnacentral:rRNA from 1 species